rnacentral:misc_RNA from 1 species
GUGAAUCAUCAAAUUUUUGAACGCAAAUUGCGCUUCCUGGCAUCCCGGGGAGUAUGCCUGUUUGAGGGUCAGUAUUAAUUAAGAAUCGGGUUAGUUACAGAUGGUGACGUUUCCGGAGUUUGGUCUUUCUUAACAUGUUGGGGUAAGAUGCUUAGAAUGAACCUUUUUUGCGGAUUGUUAGUCGUACAUAAAUUUUUUUUAUUCGUCUAGUCUUACUUCCAAGAUCUUAUUAUAUG